rnacentral:lncRNA from 1 species
UAGAAAUCUAUGAAAUUUUAACACAAGGUUUAUGACCACAAAAGGAAGGUUGGGAUUGAUUUUGGGAGUUUUGGUCCCAAUAUUUUAGGAAAAAGGGGCCAAAAAGGGCCCAAAUAAGCAUUUUCUUGGUUUUCGCACUUUAACUUUAGUUUAAGUAAAUAGAAAUCUAUGAAAUUUUGACACAAGGUUUAUGACCACAAAAGGAAGGUUGGGAUUGAUUUUGGGAUGUUUGGUUCCAACAGUUUAGGAAU